UGUUCCCUACGGGGCGCAGCAGUGGGGAAUAUUGCGCAAUGGGCGAAAGCCUGACGCAGCGACGCCGCGUGAGGGAUGAAGGUCUUCGGAUCGUAAACCUCUGUCAGCAGGGAAGAACGGUCACUGUGCUAAUCAGCAGUGAAUUGACGGUACCUGCAAAGGAAGCACCGGCUAACUCCGUGCCAGCAGCCGCGGUAAUACGGAGGGUGCGAGCGUUAAUCGGAAUUACUGGGCGUAAAGAGUACGUAGGCGGUUCUUUAAGCGCAGGGUUUAAGGCG
rnacentral:rRNA from 1 species